rnacentral:rRNA from 1 species
AUGCAGUCGAGCGGAUGACGGGAGCUUGCUCCUUGAUUCAGCGGCGGACGGGUGAGUAAUGCCUAGGAAUCUGCCUGGUAGUGGGGGACAACGUUUCGAAAGGAACGCUAAUACCGCAUACGUCCUACGGGAGAAAGCAGGGGACCUUCGGGCCUUGCGCUAUCAGAUGAGCCUAGGUCGGAUUAGCUAGUUGGUGGGGUAAUGGCUCACCAAGGCGACGAUCCGUAACUGGUCUGAGAGGAUGAUCAGUCACACUGGAACUGAGACACGGUCCAGACUCCUACGGGAGGCAGCAGUGGGGAAUAUUGGACAAUGGGCGAAAGCCUGAUCCAGCCAUGCCGCGUGUGUGAAGAAGGUCUUCGGAUUGUAAAGCACUUUAAGUUGGGAGGAAGGGCAGUAAGUUAAUACCUUGCUGUUUUGACGUUACCGACAGAAUAAGCACCGGCUAACUCUGUGCCAGCAGCCGCGGUAAUACAGAGGGUGCAAGCGUUAAUCGGAAUUACUGGGCGUAAAGCGCGCGUAGGUGGUUCGUUAAGUUGGAUGUGAAAGCCCCGGGCUCAACCUGGGAACUGCAUCCAAAACUGGCGAGCUAGAGUACGGUAGAGGGUGGUGGAAUUUCCUGUGUAUCGGUGAAAUGCGUAGAUAUAUGAAGGAACACCAGUGGCGAAGGCGAC